UACGGAAGGCAGCAGUGGGGAAUAUUGCACAAUGGGCGAAAGCCUGAUGCAGCUAUGCCGCGUGUAUGAAGAAGGCCUUAGGGUUGUAAAGUACUUUCAUCGGGGAGGAAAAACAAAACUAAUAAUUUUAUUUCUUGACGUUACCCGAAAAAGAAGCACCGGCUAACUCCGUGCCAGCAGCCGCGGUAAUACGGAGGGUGCUAGCGUUAAUCAGAAUUACUGGGCGUAAAGAGCACGUAGGUGGUUUUUUUAAGUCAGAUGUGAAUCCCUGGGCUUAACCUGGAACUGCAUUUUGAAACUGAAAUACUAGAGUAUCGUAGAGGGAGGUAGAAUUCUAGGUGUAGCGGUGAAAUGCGUAGAUAUCUGGAGGAAUACCUGUGGCGAAAGCGGCCUCCUAAACGAAUACUGACACUGAGGUGCGAAAGCGUGGGGAGCGAAACAGGGAUUAGAUACC
rnacentral:rRNA from 1 species